GGCGAUAAGUUGCGUGACGCAGACCCGAAACCUUAGCGAUCUAUCCAUGGGCAGGUUGAAGGGUGGGUAACACCGCCUGGAGGACCGAACUCACCAUAGUUGAAAAUAUGGGGGAUGACCUGUGGAUAGGAGUGAAAGGCUAAUCAAGCUGGGAGAUAGCUGGUUCUCCCCGAAAUAUAUUGAGGUAUAGCCUCGGACGAAUUGCGCUGGAGGUAAAGCACUGAAUGGGCUAGGGGUCCUACCAGACUACCAAACCCAAUCAAACUCUGAAUGCCAGCGACAACUAUCCGGGAGUCAGGCUGCGGGAGAUAAGUUCCGUAAGCCGAGAGGGAAAGAGCCCAGAUUGUCAGCUAAGGUCCCAAAGUCCGGACCUAAGUGUUAAAGGAUGUGGAAGCGCUCCGACAAUCAGGAGGUUGGCUUAGAAGCAGCCAUCCUUUAAAGAAAGCGUAAUAGCUCACUGAUCAAGCGAGUCUGCGCCG
rnacentral:rRNA from 1 species